UGGGACGCCGCCUCAAUGUGGCCUGACGAGCGGUGCCAUGUCCGCGCCCAGGAUCCGAACCCUGGGCCACUGCAGAGGAGCGCGCGAACUUAACCACUCGGCCACGGAGCCGGCCCCCAUAACAGGAUUUUUAAGGAUAUUUCUCACAUAAAGAUGAAACCAGCUCUUCUUUUUCUUAUCUCCCAAGACAAGAUCAUCGUGAAGGGAAUUUUCAGAAUAUCCUAAUUAUUUUUCUAUGUUGCCAAUUGUUUCUCUAUAGAGUUUGUGCUCUGGUCAGAACUCAAAUUUGAAGGGAAACCAGAAAAUGUGGUUGUUUGGGGAAACUUUCUAUGAGACAGGAGAAAGCUUUUAUUUUUUAUUUUUUUAGCUACUAAUACUUUUACAACACUUUAAAUGUCUAACCACCUAACUAAUCUCAUUCAAUCUUCCUAACAACUGUAUGAGGGAGCUGUUUUUGUUUUUUAAUUCCUAUUUUAUAAAUGAGAAAACUGAGGCACAAGAAAUGUACAACUGCCUGAAGGUCACAUGAAGAAGGGAGAACUGGAACUCUGAACUAAAGCUGGUACUCUUUCCUUGAUGUAGUGCUUUUCACCUGGAAAUAACCUAAACCAGGGCCUUGAGGAGAGUCAAGCCUGAUUCUCCUGCAGCCCCUUCUCUCCUUCUAGCAAAUGGGCCCCAGACCAUUUCUCAUUCUCUUGAACUAAAGGUAAGUUCUCAUCUAGUAGCCAAGCUGCCUCUCCUUUCUCCAGCCCUGGGGAUCCCUGGUACUCAAAAAAUCAUUUCUCACAUUUUUCUGCCACCCCUUCCUGUCUCCACUCCAACUCUCUCCCUGCAUUAAGACCCUCUGGCCUCUCCUUGUUUUUCUAGGUUGAGAGCUUUCACCCAACUGGAUUCAGUACCUACCUGGCCAUGCCUCCCUCCUAAGAGAAUACUGAGAGCUGAGAGGACACUCAGAGACUGCAGCAGUGCUAGCAAUGGGGAGACACCUACCACGCGGCUUCAUACACCCUUCUUUCAAGGACAAAGUCUUUUUUCCAGCUGACUGGGGUCUUGGGACAACAUGGAAAUAUGAAGAACUGGUAUCUCAUCAGAAAACUGACAUCGUUCACUAUACACAUCAGCUGUGGGCUUUGAAAUGGAAGCCAAGAGGAAAUCUUUCCAUUUCUUGAUGUAUGCCCUUUAAAAUGGAACCUACUGAAGACCCCCCAGUGGAAAUCCAACAGGGUAGGUCUGGCAGUUAAUAGAGAUUAGAAGUGCCUGCUCAUGACUCAACCACUCUGAGAGUUUAUCACUGCAAGACGGGUUGGUGGUUUUGACCAUUAUACCAUUUUACAUGGAUUUUUUUUCUUACUCAUACAUUCAUUUCACUUAUAUCCAUAGGUCAUCAUUGGUUAAAGUUAUGGAUCAUAAGGAAUAUUCAAGCUAAAUAUAUUAAUGAGAAGCAUAAAAGUGAUCACUCAGAAAAUUCACCUGAGGAUUAUCUUUAAAAAUAAUAAUUGUGAGGGGCUGGCCCCUUGGCCGAGUGGUUAAGUUUGCGCGCUCCGCUGCAGGCGGCCCAGUGUUUCGUUGGUUCGAAUCCUG
rnacentral:lncRNA from 1 species